AAGUCGUAACAAGGUCUCCGUUGGUGAACCAGCGGAGGGAUCAUUACAGAGUUGCAAAACUCCCAACCCUUUGUGAACGAACCAGUCAGUUGCCUCGGCGGGGAGCCCUUCAGGGGGCAGCCCGCCGGAGGACCACUAAACUCUUGUAUUUUUGGCCUCUCUGAGUGAUUACACAAUGAAUCAAAACUUUCAACAACGGAUCUCUUGGUUCUGGCAUCGAUGAAGAACGCAGCGAAAUGCGAUACGUAAUGUGAAUUGCAGAAUUCAGUGAAUCAUCGAAUCUUUGAACGCACAUUGCGCCCGCCAGCACUCUGGCGGGCAUGCCUGUUCGAGCGUCAUUUCAACCAUCAAGCCCCAGGCUUGCGUUGGAGCACUGCGGCUGCCGCAGCCUCCUAAAAGCAGUGGCGGGCUCGCUAUCAUACCGAGUGCAGUAGAUUACUCUUCGCUCAGGGCGUGUGGCGGGUUCCAGCCGUGAAAACCCCUACUUCUUAAGGUUGUCCUCGGAUCAGGUAGGAAUACCCGCUGAACUUAA
rnacentral:rRNA from 1 species